AACGCACAUUGCGCCCCUUGGUAUUCCAUGGGGCAUGCCUGUUCGAGCGUCAUUUGUGUCUUCAAGCUUUGCUUGGUGUUGGGUGUUUGUUCUGCUCUGUGCGUGGACUCGCCUUAAAUCCAUUGGCAGCCGGUAAUCUGGUGUGAAGAGCGCAGCACAUUGUGCGCUCCUCGCUGUGUAUUGCGGCGUCCAUUAAGCCUAUAUUUUUUUGCUCUUGACCUCGGAUCAGGUAGGGAUACCCGCUGAACUUAA
rnacentral:misc_RNA from 1 species